CCAGCCUGGGCGACAAGAGUGAGACUCCAUCUCAAGAACAAAAUUAGCCAGGAGUGGUGGUGCAUGGCUGUAGUCCUAGCUGCUCAGGAGGCUGAGGCAAGAGGAUCACUUGAGCUCAAGAGCUCGAGGUUGCAGUGAGCUGUGAUCAUAUCAUUGCACUCCAGCCCGGUGACAGAGCAGUGCCCUGAAUGUAAAUAAAUAAAGGAGUCUUGAGGGCAAAAUAUUUGUGAAACACUAGAUUCAAUGCAGCACCCCGGCUUCCUAGCUCCCUUUUUUUGUGGGAAUCUUAAGUGGUAAGAAGGAGCUAAUGUAAAUACAUUCAAAACCCACAGCUUUCUCUUGUGGGACUGCGGGGAACAGCUCGGGGCACAGCUUAGAGGAAUUAUCAUGCACUAAUUGUCCCUGUGACCAGGCCGCCAUCUCACUAGAGAAAUAGCUCACAGGAGGGAACCUGACAGGGACUGGGGUAUCCAUUCAGGCACAAUCAGGAAGGUCUCACCUAGAAAUCCCACUAAGGCAAUCAUCCCUCGGACCAGUUUUUCCAGUUUCUUGAGCUGUGUUGACAUCAACACCCCUUCCCCUGGGGCAGGCAGCAGGGACCCCUCCUAACAGAACCCAGGGGCAACUCAGUCACCCUGUGAAAUAACUGGGCUCCACCUCUUUAAAAAGUGAAACCCAGUCACAUGCCAAGAACUUGUUUCUUUUGUUACAUUCACCUUCCAAAUUAUUUUUAUAGCAUGCCCCUGGGGCUUGGUGAGCAGACAAUCAAGAAAUACGGGUUUUUCCCAGUUCUGCCAACAUGACCUCAGAGAUGCUCCUUUCCACCUGUGCCUCAACUUACUCUUCAUAAAAUAAAGACCACGUCCUGCCAGCCUCUCACGACUCUAACAGUGGAGACUCAAGGAAGAGAAAGAUGGACAGUCUCCUCUGGAAGAUCACUGCGAGUCUUUGAGAAUACUCUGCUUUCUCUGAAGACUUUCCUAGCCAGUGUCCUGUUAAAUGGAGUGAGGUCUUCCUCCCCACAGCCUGCAGAGCAGCUGGGUAGGGCUGGAGCUGACCGGUGGAGGGGAACACAUUUGCAGACAGCCUGAUGGACACAUGCCCUUGGCAGCUGGGAGGAUGCUGAUGACCAUCCGAAUUUCAGAGGCAGAGAACGGUUACCAUAGCUACCAAAAGUUGUAGCCAUUGGCUGUUUUGGCUACGAGGACUCAGCUGACCUCUCAAGGUCCCUUCCAGCCCUGGGAUUCUACAAUUACCUCGAGCCAGCUGACACCAUGUCUGCUGCAAGAAAAUAGGGCUUGUGAGAAGUGCCUUAGAGGUCACCUUGUCUUAUUCAUCAGAAGUGUUGAGUCACAGGCCUACUUUCUACCUUGGCUGCAUUAUUAAUAACCAAAGUUUUGCUUUUUUUGGCAUAGCAUUUGUAUACCUUUUAUAAACUGAGUUUGCCACCA